GGAUGACACAAACCAAAGGGAUGUCAGAAAGAGGACUGCCAUUUCUUGGGGGUGGAAGGUUUCUUCAUAGGCCUCCUACGGGUUGGGAACUCCUUCCAAAGCCUUCAUGGGGUUUGAAGGAGGGACAGAAGCCCUUCAAGUUGGGGCUAUGCUUGAAUCUUAAAUGCCCCCCACGGCCUAUCUCUGUUGAAACGCUUGGUCCCACGCUGUUGGGUUAUUUUGGGAAGCAAAGGAUACUUUGGGAGGCGGAGCCCAAGGGGAAGAAGCAGGACACUUGGGGAGGGUUCUUCCGGGUAUGCUAUCCCUGGCUGCUUCCGGUUCUUUCUGCUUUCUGUCAGUCACACGUUCCUUCCCACUGCUGUCAUGUUUUGUCACACCCCAGACCCAGAAAUACAGCCCCAAGUCACCACGGCGCGAACCACGCUGAACUGUAAGCUAAAAUUCCAAUUAAGUCACUCCUUGUCAGGUAUUCUGCUAUAUUCAUGAAAAGUCUGACCUACAGGGUCUCAAGAGAUACUGCCUGCUUUUCCUGAUUUAGGUAUAACUUUAGAGAGUAGGUGUAGGCUGGCAAGGUGUGUGUCUGUGUGCGCAUGCGCACACAUGAUGUAGCGGUCACAGGACAGCUGUGGGAGUCGUUUCUUUUUUUUCUGCUCCAGGGAUCAAACUCAGGAUUGACAAUCACCUUUACUAACUGAACCAUCUUAGCAGCCCUCCUUAUAUAGAUUUUUAAAAUGGGUAUAAUGACGAUGAUGACAAUGACGAUAAAAUGUUGAGCAAGUCCUUAGGGUUGAUUGACAGGCGGAAAGUCUGACCUAGAAAAAGGAAGACAUUGCCCCUCUGGUGGUCCGGCAUUCCGCCCCUCUGCUGGGUAUUGGAACUCAGCCGGGCAGAGGAGCGCUAGACUACAUUUACUUCAUGCCUGCUAUCAGGUGAUGGGCUGGAGGGAAGCACAGAUACACUGCUCAGGGUGUGGGGAAAUGCAGCCUAUGAUGAGGAGCCCGGGGCCAGGGACUCCCAAGCUCCUGGACACACAGACACCGCUGGGUCAGGGGAACUAGGAGGCCUGUGGGCUAAGAACAAGGAGACUGGGAAUGGAGGAUAGGGGUCUCUAUCUUAGCUCAUCAGCGGCUGUCCUUAGCUCAGAGGUAAUUAAUUGUCUGGGAGCACCGAGGGGCCUUCUGUGGGAGACUUAGAUGGUGGCUGUGUAAAUGAAGGCUUCUUCCAAGCUCCCUGUGGUGGUUCUUGAUGAAAGAAACAGUCAGUUCUUAUCCAGAACGUUUACUGACUGUUCAUUGUGGAAAAUGGGUGCAUACCACCUCCUCAGGGUGGAUCAGAGCUUUAAUACCUUUUUCAGGAAGGAAUGUCUGAGGAGGGAAGCUUAUUGGCUAAACCCUCAGGGCCUCUAGAUAUUAGCAUGGAGACUCUGUUCUGAUCUGGGUGGCCAUAGGUCACAUUCCUAUGUAGGGAGUAUGGUCACGUGACAGGGACUGGUCAGAAGCAGGCGAAGCUUCUACCAUCCUCUGGUAUGAGGUUCCAGGGCUUCUAACUCCCUCAGACUUACCAAGUUUCCGGGCAUAGUCCACUGCUCCACCUACCCACCCUUUCCUCUUUCUUCAGUUAUCACAACUACAUGUGCAUGGCUCAGACCCUGGAAGUGUUCUUCAAAUUGGACUCUAAUUCUCCUCUGAUGUUCCCAGAGUAUGUGGCCAUGGGAGGGCUCAGGCUGUGGGAACUGACAGAGUCAUGGAAGACAGGGAAAUGGGACCCCUGUCGACUGGUUUCAGAUGCUCAUGGUCCAAACCUAAAGGACAGCUGGCCAGCAAGCGCCCCGUAGGCUAGUUUUACUUCCUUUCCAGUGCAAGGUCCCGCUAGGGGUAAAGUGAGAGUGGUUGAACCCUGGCCUGUGUUUCUCACAGUCCUACUGUGUGCACACUGAAUGAAGCAGGGUAGACAGAGCUAGUUCUGAUCCCGCCAUCCGGUAUGCCAUCUGGAACAGUCAUUCUUCCGCCAGCAUCAGGCUGCAGAUCAGAGGCCUUGGCACAUUGGGCACGGUCCUGCUUCCAUGUUGUCAAGGGGAAUUCUUGAACCACACUCUGUUUCCUUCACCUGCUGCCCUGGGAACAUGGUCCAGUCUCCAUGAAGCCCCAGGCCCAGCAGGAAGGAGAUUGGACUUAACUGGGCAAGUCUCUCUGCCUUUUCUCCUCCAUUUUACCAGCUCACUGGGCUUCCAUUUCCUGACCUCAUCACACAUGGAGCUGUCCCCCAGUCACACAGCCAAGAUACCUUCCAGUGUGGUCCUCACAUACUGCCUUCAGUUGUCUGGUUGAUUGUAUGUUGGUAUGAGGCAGUCAGGCCGUUUGUGGGACCCAUAGCGCUUGGUGCUGACCCCAGCCAUCUCCCUGCAGUGCACACAUGGGCUACUCCACAGGCAUUUGUUAGUGAGUGGAAAAGGGGAGUUAGUGCAGAGCUGUUACAGAGGUAGCUGCUGUACAGGGGAAUGACAAAGUCUAUCACUGUGCUGUGCCUGUGUGGCCCUCACUACCUCCCUAGGGAGUUCUAUGGCUUGGCUGGAUGCCCCCAUGGGUCACCUCACCCCCAGAGGUUUGGAGGAAACUGCAAAGCCACUAGGCACACUUUCUUCUGGCCUCCAUUGGAAAAACUUUACCUCAAGGAAAUCCAACCUCAAUAUAAACCACCUUCCACAUCUGCUUUGAGGAUAAUUUGUCAUGUUGAAAAUACUAAUUCUUUGGCAAAUAAUCUGCUUCCCUAGUACUCUAUAUGUUGGCAAAACAUAAAAGAAAAAGAAAAAGAAACGAAACCCAGAAUCAUGUGACAGCCCUUCUUUUGUUUGUUUUUCUUUUUUCCACCCGUAGGACUUUCUCUCCGGCACCUGAGGACUUGGGAGAGAAAAACUGCACUACCUGAGAGACAUGGUGAAUAUCUUUCAAUAACAUAUUCUUAUAUUCUGUCUGUCUCCCAAACUACCCCACUCUUCUACUUCAGUGAUAACCGGCUGCGGGUGACACAGUGGGGCUGAAGGUAAGUAAGUGCCUUGCCCCCUGUGGCUGCUGACUUGCAGACGUCCAUUGGUCUUUCCAUUCUGUUCCAAGGAGGAGCUGAGUGGCUGUUGAUAGCAAGCUUCUUAGGUCUGGUAUGUUUCCUCUCAAGGUCCUCACCGUACUCAGUCCAGCUUCCUCCGAACAACGUGGAGUUCCAAGUGGAUGCUUUGGGAGGUCCACGUGGUGGUUGUCAUCCAAGCCAGCUGCAAGCCUCUCUCAUCACAUUUGUUAAGGGGCCCAGAGACCACGUCUCAGCAGGAUGCCUGUCGCUCUCCGUGAAAGCAAGAGAAGCUGCUGCAGGUAUCGUGAUGGCGUAGAGGCUAGAUUCUAACAUUGCAUUCUAACAGUAAGCCUCCCCCACUUUGCUGGUACUCAAAACCUCGCAUAACAAUGUAUACUCUUUGGUGACUUUGGAUGUACACAUGUUCACGGUAGUGUCAGCCAACCCAAUAAAAAACAUAUUUGGCCCCUGC
rnacentral:sRNA from 1 species